rnacentral:rRNA from 1 species
GUUGACCUCGGAUCAGGUAGGAAUACCCGCUGAACUUAAGCAUAUCAAUAAGCGGAGGAAAAGAAACCAACAGGGAUUGCCUCAGUAACGGCGAGUGAAGCGGCAACAGCUCAAAUUUGAAAUCUGGCCCCAGGCCCGAGUUGUAAUUUGCAGAGGAUGCUUUUGGUGAGGUGCCUUCCAAGUUCCCUAGAACGGGACGCCAGAGAGGGUGAGAGCCCCGUACAGUUGGACACCGAGCCUUUGUAAAGCUCCUUCGACGAGUCGAGUAGUUUGGGAAUGCUGCUCAAAAUGGGAGGUAUAUUUCUUCUAAAGCUAAAUACCGGCCAGAGACCGAUAGCGCACAAGUAGAGUGAUCGAAAGAUGAAAAGCACUUUGAAAAGAGGGUUAAACAGCACGUGAAAUUGUUAAAAGGGAAGCGCUUGUGACCAGACUUGCGUCCGGUGAAUCACCCAGCUCUCGCGGCUGGGGCACUUCGCCGGCUCAGGCCAGCAUCAGCUCGCUGUCGGGGACAAAAGCUUCAGGAACGUAGCUCUCUUCGGGGAGUGUUAUAGCCUGUUGCAUAAUACCCUUCGGCGGGCUGAG